AUUGAACGCUGGCGGCAGGCUUAACACAUGCAAGUCGAGCGGAGAUGAGGUGCUUGCACCUUAUCUUAGCGGCGGACGGGUGAGUAAUGCUUAGGAAUCUGCCAUUUAGUGGGGGACAACAUUCCGAAAGGAAUGCUAAUACCGCAUACGUCCUACGGGAGAAAGCAGGGAUCUUCGGACCUUGCGCUAAUAGAUGAGCCUAAGUCGGAUUAGCUAGUUGGUGGGGUAAAGGCCUAACAAGGCGACGAUCUGUAGCGGGUCUGAGAGGAUGAUCCGCCAAACUUGGACUGAGCAAAGGCACAGACUCAUACGGGAGGCAGCAGUGGGGAAUAUUGGACAAUGGGGGGAACCCUGAUCCAGCCAUGCCGCGUGUGUGAAGAAGGCCUUAUGGUUGUAAAGCACUUUAAGCGAGGAGGAGGCUACUGAGACUAAUACUCUUGGAUAGUGGACGUUACUCGCAGAAUAAGCACCGGCUAACUCUGUGCCAGCAGCCGCGGUAACAC
rnacentral:rRNA from 1 species